AAAAGACCAUCGAGGGUUCACUCGGCGUCCGAGUCGAGACGAUGAGUGUUGCGGAAGCAGGGCCUGCAGACCUUCCUCUAUCGCGCGAUUUCUCUACCACUCACUCUGUGCUCCACCUGCUUCUCCGAUUCGAUCUCCUUCCUCUCGCCGCGGGAGUCCGGUGCCCUCCUGCUUCCGGACGCGGAGAAUGGAGCCAUCAAAGUAUGAUGAACGGAAGCCUACUGAUCCAAGCAGCAGCUUUUCACUGCAAAAUGAGGAUGCAAAAUUUACCAAGGAAGCAGACUAGUUGCUCGUCUUGAUUAUCAAAACAAAUCCAUCUUUUCAUGAUGACUUCAAAAUGUGGAACCGGUAUCAAUCAUUCCUCCGAGAGCUUUAUGGAUCACUGGGAUUCUAGGGUACAACUAGUGUCAAGCUCAUUGUUUCUGAGCCCCCCCAAUAUUAACGACUAGUGUGCCAAAAGGAAAGAGUUUUGUCUUCCCAAUCUGCAAAACAAGAAAACUCAAGGAUUUAGGAUAAAUGAACAAAAAGAAAGUGUAUCUUACUUA